GCAGGAACCGUUAGCCAAAGGCAAGGGUGUCCAUCGCGAGAACGGACAGAAACCACAUAGAAGGCUGAUUUGGGGCGGACGACUCUGCGCAACAAGGGAAAGUCCAAUGCUACCCGAACCCCAUACAGUAGAUGUGGUGGCCAUGAGAGGAAGGUUGU
rnacentral:ncRNA from 1 species